rnacentral:rRNA from 1 species
AGUUUGAUUCUGGGUUCAGGACGAACGGCUGGCGGGCGUGCCUAAUACCAUCCAAGUAGACCGGUGAAGAAAAGGAGCUUGCUUCUUUUGGAUGAGUUGCGAACGGGUGAGUAACGCGUAGGUAACCUGCCUUGUAGCGGGGGAUAACUAUUGGAAACGAUAGCUAAUACCGCAUAACAGCUUUUGACACAUGUUAGAAGCUUGAAAGAUGCAAUUGCAUCACUACGAGAUGGACCUGCGUUGUAUUAGCUAGUAGGUAGGGUAACGGCCUACCUAGGCGACGAUACAUAGCCGACCUGAGAGGGUGAUCGGCCACACUGGGACUGAGACACGGCCCAGACUCCUACGGGAGGCAGCAGUAGGGAAUCUUCGGCAAUGGGGGCAACCCUGACCGAGCAACGCCGCGUGAGUGAAGAAGGUUUUCGGAUCGUAAAGCUCUGUUGUAAGAGAAGAACGUGUGUGAGAGUGGAAAGUUCACACAGUGACGGUAACUUACCAGAAAGGGACGGCUAACUACGUGCCAGCAGCCGCGGUAAUACGUAGGUCCCGAGCGUUGUCCGGAUUUAUUGGGCGUAAAGCGAGCGCAGGCGGUUUAAUAAGUCUGAAGUUAAAGGCAGUGGCUUAACCAUUGUUCGCUUUGGAAACUGUUAAACUUGAGUGCAGAAGGGGAGAGUGGAAUUCCAUGUGUAGCGGUGAAAUGCGUAGAUAUAUGGAGGAACACCGGUGGCGAAAGCGGCUCUCUGGUCUGUAACUGACGCUGAGGCUCGAAAGCGUGGGGAGCAAACAGGAUUAGAUACCCUGGUAGUCCACGCCGUAAACGAUGAGUGCUAGGUGUUAGGCCCUUUCCGGGGCUUAGUGCCGCAGCUAAC